rnacentral:rRNA from 1 species
UACGAAGGGUGCAAGCGUUACUCGGAAUUACUGGGCGUAAAGCGUGCGUAGGUGGUUUGUUAAGUCUGAUGUGGAAGCCCUGGGCUCAACCUGGGAAUUGCAUUGGAUACUGGCAGGCUAGAGUGCGGUAGAGGAUGGCGGAAUUCCCGGUGUAGCAGUGAAAUGCGUAGAGAUCGGGAGGAACAUCUGUGGCGAAGGCGGCCUCGUGGACCAGCACUGACACUGAGGCACGAAAGCGUGGGGAG